rnacentral:rRNA from 1 species
UACGUAGGGUGCAAGCGUUAAUCGGAAUUACUGGGCGUAAAGCGUGCGCAGGCGGUUCGCUAAGACCGAUGUGAAAUCCCCGGGCUUAACCUGGGAACUGCGCUUGUAACUGGCAAGCUGGAGUGUGGCAGAGGGGGGUGGAAUUCCACGUGUAGCAGUGAAAUGCGUAGAGAUGUGGAGGAACACCGAUGGCGAAGGCAGCCCCCUGGGCUAACACUGACGCUCAUGCACGAAAGCGUGGGGAGCAAACAGG